AUUGAACGCUGGCGGCAGGCCUAACACAUGCAAGUCGAACGAGUGGCGGACGGGUGAGUAAUGUCUGGGAAACUGCCCGAUGGAGGGGGAUAACUACUGGAAACGGUAGCUAAUACCGCAUACCAUCGGAUGUGCCCAGAUGGGAUUAGCUAGUAGGGUGGGUAACGGCUCACCUAGGCGACGAUCCCUAGCUGGUCUGAGAGGAUGACCAGCCACACGGGAACUGAGACACGGUCCAGAUUCCUACGGUAGGCAGCAGUGGGUAAUAUUGCACCAUGGGCGCAAGCCUGAUGAAGCCAUGCCGCGUGUAUGAAGAAGGCCUUCGGGUUGUAAAGUACUUUCAGCGAGGAGGCGUUACUCGCAGAAGAAGCACCGGCGAACUCCGUGCCAGCAGCCGCGGUAAUAC
rnacentral:rRNA from 1 species